UGUGGCUGGGGGUGAAAGGCCAAUCAAACCGGGAGAUAGCUGGUUCUCCCCGAAAUCUAUUUAGGUAGAGCCUUGAGCGGACACCUUCGGGGGUAGAGCACUGUUUCGGCUAGGGGUCCAUCCCGGAUUACCAACCCGAUGCAAACUACGAAUACCGAAGAGUGAUACUCAGGAGACACACGGCGGGUGCUAACGUCCGUCGUGGAGAGGGAAACAACCCAGACCGCCAGCUAAGGUCCCAAAGUCUAUAUUAAGUGGGAAACGAAGUGGGAAGGCUUAGACAGCUAGGAUGUUGGCUUAGAAGCAGCCAUCAUUUAAAGAAAGCGUAAUAGCUCACUAGUCGAGUCGGCCUGCGCGGAAGAUGUAACGGGGCUCAAAUAUAGCACCGAAGCUGCGGCAUCAGACGAAAGUCUGUUGGGUAGGGGAGCGUUCUGUAAGCGGAUGAAGGUGAAUCGAGAGGUUUGCUGGACGUAUCAGAAGUGCGAAUGCUGACAUAAGUAACGAUAAAACGGGUGAAAAACCCGUUCGCCGGAAGACCAAGGGUUCCUGUCCAACGUUAAUCGGGGCAGGGUGAGUCGGCCCCUAAGGCGAGGCUGAAAAGCGUAGUCGAUGGGAAACGGGUUAAUAUUCCCGUACUUGGAUAAACUGCGAUGUGGGGACGGAGCAGGUUAGGUUAUCGCACUGUUGGAUAUGUGCGUUUAAGUUUGUAGGUGGGAAGUUUAGGCAAAUCCGGACUUCUAUUAAACACUGAGAGAUGAUGACGAGGCUCUACGGAGCUGAAGUAACCGAUACCACACUUCCAGGAAAAGCCACUAAGCUUCAGGUUUAUCUAAACCGUACUGAAAACCGACACAGGUGGUCAGGUAGAGAAUACUCAGGCGCUUGAGAGAACUCGGGUGAAGGAACUAGGCAAAAUAGCACCGUAACUUCGGGAGAAGGUGCGCCGGCGUAGAUUGUAGUCCCUUGCGGAUGAAGGUUGAACCGGUCGAAGAUACCAGCUGGCUGCAACUGUUUAUUAAAAACACAGCACUCUGCAAACACGAAAGUGGACGUAUAGGGUGUGAUGCCUGCCCGGUGCUGGAAGGUUAAUUGAUGGUGUAAUCGAAAGAGAAGCUCCUGAUCGAAGCCCCAGUAAACGGCGGCCGUAACUAUAACGGUCCUAAGGUAGCGAAAUUCCUUGUCGGGUAAGUUCCGACCUGCACGAAUGGCAUAAUGAUGGCCAGGCUGUCUCCACCCGAGACUCAGUGAAAUUGAAAUCGCCGUGAAGAUGCGGUGUACCCGCGGCUAGACGGAAAGACCCCGUGAACCUUUACUAUAGCUUGACACUGAACAUUGAAUUUUGAUGUGUAGGAUAGGUGGGAGACUUAGAAGUAGUCACGCCAGUGAUUGUGGAGUCGUCCUUGAAAUACCACCCUUUAACGUUUGAUGUUCUAACGAAGAUUACGAAACGUGGUCUCGGACAGUGUCUGGUGGGUAGUUUGACUGGGGCGGUCUCCUCCCAAAGAGUAACGGAGGAGCACGAAGGUUUGCUAAUGACGGUCGGACAUCGUCAGGUUAGUGCAAUGGUAUAAGCAAGCUUAACUGCGAGACAGACAAGUCGAGCAGGUACGAAAGUAGGUCAUAGUGAUCCGGUGGUUCUGAAUGGAAGGGCCAUCGCUCAACGGAUAAAA
rnacentral:rRNA from 1 species